rnacentral:rRNA from 1 species
GCGCAAGCCUGAUGCAGCGACGCCGCGUGAGGGAUGACGGCCUUCGGGUUGUAAACCUCUUUCAGUACCGACGAAGCGCGAGUGACGGUAGGUACAGAAGAAGCACCGGCCAACUACGUGCCAGCAGCCGCGGUAAUACGUAGGGUGCGAGCGUUGUCCGGAAUUACUGGGCGUAAAGAGCUCGUAGGCGGUUUGUCGCGUCGUCUGUGAAAACCCGCAGCUCAACUGCGGGCUUGCAGGCGAUACGGGCAGACUUGAGUACUGCAGGGGAGACUGGAAUUCCUGGUGUAGCGGUGAAAUGCGCAGAUAUCAGGAGGAACACCGGUGGCGAAGGCGGGUCUCUGGGCAGUAACUGACGCUGAGGAGCGAAAGCGUGGGUAGCGAACAGGAUUAGAUACCCUGGUAGUCCACGCCGUAAACGGUGGGCGCUAGGUGUGGGUUUCCUUCCACGGGAUCCGUGCCGUAGCUAACGCAUUAAGCGCCCCGCCUGGGGAGUACGGCCGCAAGGCUAAAACUCAAAGGAAUUGACGGGGG